rnacentral:rRNA from 1 species
AAACUUCAGCUAAUACCGGAUAAGCCCUUACGGGGAAAGAUUUAUCGCCGAAAGAUCGGCCCGCGUCUGAUUAGCUAGUUGGUGAGGUAAUGGCUCACCAAGGCGACGAUCAGUAGCUGGUCUGAGAGGAUGAUCAGCCACAUUGGGACUGAGACACGGCCCAAACUCCUACGGGAGGCAGCAGUGGGGAAUAUUGGACAAUGGGCGCAAGCCUGAUCCAGCCAUGCCGCGUGAGUGAUGAAGGCCCUAGGGUUGUAAAGCUCUUUUGUGCGGGAAGAUAAUGACGGUACCGCAA